rnacentral:tRNA from 1 species
GCAGUGGCGGGUCAGUGGUAGAUUUCUCACCUUACACGUGAGAGACCCAGGUUCCAUUCCCAGCCAACGCA